rnacentral:rRNA from 1 species
CCCUUAGAUGUUCUGGGCCGCACGCGCGCUACACUGACGAAUGCAACGAGCUUAUAACCUUGGCCGAAAGGUCUGGGUAAUCUCCAAAUUUCGUCGUGAUGGGGAUAGAUUAUUGCAAUUAUUAAUCUUCAACGAGGAAUGCCUAGUAAGCGCAAGUCAUCAGCUUGCAUUGAUUACGUCCCUGCCCUUUGUACACACCGCCCGUCGCACCUACCGAUUGAAUGGUCCGGUGAAAUCUCCGGACUGGCGUGAGUCGGAGCAAUCUGACAAACACCGGAAAGUUGAUUAAACCUUACCAUUUAGAGGAAGGUGAAGUCGUAACA